rnacentral:rRNA from 1 species
AUGAUUAAAGAUAGCUUGCUAUUUUUAUGAAGAGCGGCGAACGGGUGAGUAACGCGUGGGAAAUCUGCCGAGUAGCGGGGGACAACGUUUGGAAACGAACGCUAAUACCGCAUAACAAUGAGAAUCGCAUGAUUCUUAUUUAAAAGAAGCAAUUGCUUCACUACUUGAUGAUCCCGCGUUGUAUUAGCUAGUUGGUAGUGUAAAGGACUACCAAGGCGAUGAUACAUAGCCGACCUGAGAGGGUGAUCGGCCACACUGGGACUGAGACACGGCCCAGACUCCUACGGGAGGCAGCAGUAGGGAAUCUUCGGCAAUGGGGGCAACCCUGACCGAGCAACGCCGCGUGAGUGAAGAAGGUUUUCGGAUCGUAAAACUCUGUUGUUAGAGAAGAA